UCUUGAGCUCAAGUGAUCUGCCUGCUUGCCUUGGCCUCUCAAAGUGCUGGGAUUACAGGCAUGAGCCACCACACCUACCUAAAAAGCUUUGAGAGGCAAUCACCAACUCUUCAGGGGGCACUCUGUUUAUACCCAUGAUGAAUUAUGACUCCAUCUCUAUAGGUGCUGUGGAACUGCUUAUGGAUAUGGUUAUGGUGAGUAAUAAUCAUAACAUUAAAAAGGUACAUAUACAUAUAUUGCAUGUUCACACACACAGACAUGCAGACACAAAGUCUCCCAUACAAACAGUCAAAUGAGGACAGGUAAGUAUAAAUCUCAGCAUCCAGAGGAAAAAACAUGUAUGUAAUAUUAUUAAAGAUGUAAGUGAAAUGAUGUGAUACUUGUGCUAUCAAAAUGAUUUGAAAUGGAAUAAGGAGAGAGAGUAGAGUAUCAAUGAAAUAAGAUUGGACAUGAGUUGACUGUGGUUGAAAUUGGAUGAUAGGGAUGGUUAUAAUUCUUUGAGCUCUUACAUAUUGAAAUUUUCCAUAAUAAAAAAACGUUUUUUUAAAAAAUCUGUUAAGGCAGAGAGACCCAGAAAACAAAAAGAUCUCUGGGAAUGUCUAACAGACUGGCUACAAUGGAAGUUUCAGGAAAGCAGAAAUUUUGCCUGUCUUUUCUACAACUGUAUCUCUUGUGCUUAGAGAAGUUGAUAGCACGUGGCAGGUUCUGUUGUUGAAUGAAUGAACGUUGGAGAAUAAAACCCAUAACCUAGGUGACAGUCUGUCAGCUCAGACAAAGUCAAGAAUCCUGGGGUUCACUCACCUGUCACACUACAAAUGGCAUUUGUUAGUUAUUAUAAGAAUAAAUAACCACUCCAAGAGAAAGCAGAUUCACAAACUUUCACCAUGGAUUUCAUAAGUAGAUAUGCACAUGUUUAUAUGCAUAUGAUCCCACCUAGAAAGCUGCUAUCGUAUCAUUUCAUUUCAUUCCUUUUUUUCCCAACAAAUAUUUAUUGUAGAGGUAUCUCUGUCCUUCAAGCCAAAAAUCAGGGAAAAAAUCAGAAAAGAAAUCUUAUUUGCUUACUAAUUGAAGUGUGGAAAGGCACAGAUAAUCUUUUGAAGAAAAUUCACCUUUGCAUAUUGUUCUUAGUUCCUUAGUAGCCUUGGGACAAAACUGAAAAAGGUAAUGAUGUAGAACCUUAAUUAGGGCUUUUGAAAUUUGAGGCCUUUUUUUGUUGUUGUUGUUGUUGUUGUUGUUGAGACGGAGUCUUGCUUUGUCGCCCAGGCUGGAGUGCAGUGGCCGGAUCUCAGCUCACUGCAAGCUCCACCUCCCGGGUUUACGCCAUUCUCCUGUGAGGCCAUUUUUAUUGGGGGUCAGAACCUAAGCCAGGAAAACAACCAAUAACAUUGCAAUAACAAACAUCAGGCAUAAUGAAAUGCCCUUAGGAGACACUGUCGAAAGUUUUGAAGCUGCACUGUCCCAUCCUCCAGACAACAAAGAGAAAAAACAGUCUGCAACACCUACAAACAAUAGUACAUAAGUUAGGAAGAGGCUAGGUUUGGCUGCAGUAAUGAACAACAACAAGGGUUCAUUCCUCUCACACCCUGCAUGUCCAUUACAGGUUAGCUACACCUCUACUCCACGUGGUCCUCCCUCCAGGUCCCAGACUGAUGGAGCAGCCUCUGUCUGUUUGGAACAUUGUCAGUCAUAAUGGUGGACACAAAAGAGAUUAUGGCAAACCAUGUUUUGUCUCCUACAAUUUCUGCUCACUUCUCUCCACAUUUCAUUGACCAGAGCAAGUCAUGUGACCAAGCCUGAUUCAAAAUAGGCUGGAGCAAGGAGGAGCAGCAAACAUAACAUUCCCAGUUUACAGCUGAGGAAAUUAAGCUUCAAGUUGCCCAAGUGUAUAGAAUGAAUCAAUGGCAGAGGUUGAACUCAGCUCUAAGACAUUUGCCUCCCUUGAGCCAAAUCCUUGCCAAGGCCUAUAGGAAGGUAGGAGAAGGUGGGACCUUGACCUCUGUUGGGGACUCUGCUAUGAGAAGUUGGUCCACGACUUGCUCCCCCAUGGAUUAAGCAAACAAAUGAAGAACAGUGGUACUGGUGGCUUCUGAACCUCCUUAAUCCUGAAUAGAGUUUGGUUUUCACAGAUCUCUGGGAAGACACCCUUCCUUCAACAAAGUUGGUAUAGCACCAUAUGAGAGAGUCUUAGAUUUCAUUGACUCCCAAAAGUCCAAGAAGUUUAAUGGGGAUAAUGAGUAUUCCCUGCUCAUACUAGUUAUCUGUUGCCAUCUAAUGAAUUACUCCAAACCUUAGGGGCUUACUUAAAGCAACAAACAUUCAUUACAUCACAGUUUCUGUGUGUCAUGAUUUCAGGAGCUGCUUAGCUGAGAGGUUCUGGCUCAAAGUCUCCUGUGAAGUUGCAGUCAAGAUGUCUGCUGGGACCCCAGUCAUUUGAAGCCCUGUCCGGGGCAGGAGAAUCUAGGUCCAAAAUGGCUGUUGCAGGAGUCCUCAUGCACACCAUGUGGGGCCUCUUCAUAGAUGUUCGAAUGUCCUCAUGGCAUGGCCACUGGCUUUCCCCAAAGCAAGCAGUCCAAAAGAGAGUAAGACAGAGCCCACAAUGUCUUGUAUGAAUUAGCCUUGGAAGUCUAACACGGUUACUUCCACCACAUUCAUUAGUCAUUAGGUACAGCUCACAUUCAUGGGGAGGAAAAUCAGGGCUUGUCUUUAGAUAGAAGAUGUGUCAAAGAAUUUGUGGACAUAUUUUAAAAUCAUAGCACUACUGUUGAUGUACUAAGUCCGUGACUCCCCCAGGAGUCUCACAGAGAAUUGACUGCUUGCCCACCUAUAUUACCUUUGUGGGUAGAGACUCCAGUAGUGUGCUGGUUAAUGUUCAACCAGUGGCUUUCUAUAAAACAAAAUGUAUGGAUACAUAUAUAUGUUCUAAGUUUUACUGAUAUGAAGAAUGUGUAGCACAGAAUUUACAAAUAAUAAGAUAUACAGUAUUAUUUAUUGUAAAUUCCAUAGAACCUAUUGUUUUUCACAAAAGGUUUUAGUUUAUUUUUCCCAAAUGCUUGUAUCGGUAACAUUUUCUAUAUCACUUUUUUUAUGUCCAGACAAUCAACAAAACAGUGAAAAAGCCCAGCCUUGUAGCAUUUGCCAGUUAUUGUGUAAAUGUCCCCACCAUGGUGGAUUUCAAGUUACCACUAUGAGAUCACAGAAUGCAGAAUUGGAAAGAGAUUCACAGCAGCACCCCAUUACACUAUAUUUUCACCAUACAAAUGCAGUUGAUGUAAAUUAACUGAGGAGCAUAAAUAAUAAUAAAAUGAAGUUAAAUAAUUAGGAAA